rnacentral:rRNA from 1 species
CACGUAGAUGGCUUUGUAAGUCGGAUGUGAAAUCCCUGGGCUCAACCUGGGAACUGCAUUCGAAACUGCAUUGCUCGAAUGUGGAAGAGGGAAGCGGAAUUCCAGGUGUAGCGGUGAAAUGCGUAGAUAUCUGGAGGAACAUCAGUGGCGAAGGCGGCUUCCUGGUCCAACAUUGACAUUCAGGUGCGAAAGCGUGGGGAGCAAACAGGAUUAGAUACCCUGGUAGUCCACGCCUUAAACUAUGAGAACUAGAUGUCGGGGGGGUUAGCCUCCCGGUGUCGCAGCUAACGCGCUAAGUUCUCCGCCUGGGGAGUACGGCCGCAAGGUUGAA